CCAACACAUUAGCAGCAACCCCUGUACAGCUUAUUGUGAGGACCCAACCUCCAAAGGGAACAACGGAGCCCAGCAGAUCUUCUGCCAAACGUGCCCGCGGGCUGCCUGUAGGAGGCGAUCGGAAAAGCACUCGUCUGAAUUCCAG